UACGUAGGGGGCAAGCGUUGUCCGGAAUCAUUGGGCGUAAAGAGCGUGUAGGCGGUCUUGUAAGUGUGAAGUGAAAUCUCCAGGGCUCAACCCGGAAACUGCUUUGCAUACUGCGAGACUAGAGGGAUGCAGAGGUUUUGUGGAAUUCCUGGUGUAGCGGUGAAAUGCGUUGAUAUCAGGAGGAACACCGGUGGCGAAGGCGGGUCUCUGGGCAGUAACUGACGCUGAGGAGCGAAAGCGUGGGGGAGCGAACAGG
rnacentral:rRNA from 1 species